AACGAACGCUGGCGGCAUGCCUAACACAUGCAAGUCGAACGAAGGCUUCGGCCUUCGUGGCGCACGGGUGAGUAACGCGUGGGAACCUGCCUCUUGGUACGGAAUAACGUCGGGAAACUGACGCCAAUACCGUAUAUGUCUGCGGAUGAAAGAUUUAUCGCCGAGCGAGGGGCCCGCGUCUGAUUAGCUAGUUGGUGAGGUAACGGCUCACCAAGGCGACGAUCAGUAGCUGGUCUGAGAGGAUGAUCAGCCACACUGGGACUGAGACACGGCCCAGACUCCUACGGGAGGCAGCAGUGGGGAAUAUUGGACAAUGGGGGCAACCCUGAUCCAGCAAUGCCGCGUGAGUGAUGAAGGCCUUCGGGUUGUAAAGCUCUUUUGCCAGGGACGAUGAUGACGGUACCUGGAGAAUAAGCCCCGGCUAACUUCGUGCCAGCAGCCGCCGUAAAAC
rnacentral:rRNA from 1 species